GCCCCUGUAGUGUAGUCCGGACUAUCAUUCUGCCCUUUCGAGGCAGCGACUCGGGUUCAAAUCCCGGCGGGGGCA
rnacentral:tRNA from 1 species